CCUACGGGAGGCAGCAGUGGGGAAUAUUGCACAAUGGGGGAAACCCUGAUGCAGCGACGCCGCGUGAGUGAAGAAGUAAUUCGUUACGUAAAGCUCUAUCAGCAAGGCAGAAACACUGACCUUACGGUCAGCAGACGGUAUCUGAGUAAGAAGCCCCGGCUAACUACUUGCCAGCACCCGCGGUAAUACGUAGGGGGCAAGCGUUUUCCGGAUGUACUGGGUGGAACGGGGGAGUAGACGUUGCGCCAAGUAUGGAGUGAAAGGCCGCAGCUUAACUGCGGAACUGCUAUGGAAACUGGCGAACUAGAGUGCGGGAGGGGUAAGCGGAAGUCGUGGUGUAGCGGUGAAAUGCGUAGAUAUUAGGAGGAACACCGGUGGCGAAGGCGGCUUACUGGACCGUAACUGACGUUGAGGCUCGAAAGCGUGGGGAGCAAACAGGAUUAGAUACCCCAGUAGUC
rnacentral:rRNA from 1 species